ensembl:lncRNA
UUUAACACCUUGUAGAGUCAACAUGGGCCAGCAUCCCUGUGGAACGCUUUCAACUCCUUGUAGAGUCAACAUGGACCAGCAUCACCGUGGAACGCUUUCAACUCCUUGUAGAGUCAACAUGGGCCAGCAUCCCUGUGGAACGCUUUCAACUCCUUGUAGAGUUCAUGCCCUGAGAAUUUAGGCUGUUCUGAGGGCAAAAGGAGGUGCAACUCAAUAUUAGUAAGGUGUUCUUAAUGUUUUGUAUACUCAGUGUGUACUAUAAUGCAUUGUGCCUCUCAAGGGGGUGGAAACUGAGGCUAGACUGGGCCUGACUGAAGGCUGGCUGGCCUGAUGCAUUAUGACCUGAAGCUCACAGGCAUUUACAAUGCCCUCCACCAAUCCCCUGGCCUGUUACUGUUAGGUUGAAUGCCCUCCACCAAUCCCCUGGACUGUUACUGUUAGGUUGAAUGCCCUCCACCAAUCCCCUGGCCUGUUACUGUUAGGUUGAAUGCCCUCCACCAAUCCCCUGGACUGUUACUGUUAGGUUGAAUGCCCUCCACCAAUCCCCUGGACUGUUACUGUUAGGUUGAAUGCCCUCCACCAAUCCCCUGAACUGUUACUGUUAGGUUGAAUGACUAACGAUGAACCCUACCUACAGUGAUUUGCUCUGACAGCAUUUUCUAUGUUAAUUUGACUAAUGAGUAACAUUUAAGUAUUUUUUUAGAGAUACUCAUGUCAACAAAUGAAUUUAGUUUAUUUUACAGGGAGAGGUGUAUGAACAGGGGAUGGACACUAUGAGGAAAUGGGAGGGGAGAGGAGGGGAGAGAUGAUGUCAAAUAGUUUUAUAUCCUGAAUGAUGAACCAUGUCUCUGACAUGUUGUAUUUUAUUGGAGCUGUGGAUGUGGCUAGCUCUGGUCCAGGGGGUUAGUGCAUUCCUCGCUGACGCCCUGGACCAGAGCUAGUUGUGGUUAACUGUGGUAGAGAGAAAUAUAAUUUUAAAAUGCUGUAAUUUCAAGUAAAUAAGAAAAGAAACCCAAGACCUUACUUUAAAGACAAGAUCAAAGCUGCUCUCCCUAAUGAGGAGUUGUACAUAUAAAUGUAUUUGAACAAAGUAUUAUUUGCAAUAUUAUAAUGUACAGAAUUGUAUUUAUAAUGUAUCUCAACAAACUGUUUUAAUUGGUACAAAGAUGUUCUAGAAUACAGAACGUUUACGAUCUAAACACUUGUUGUGUGUCGCCUCUUAUUUGCAUUCAAUCAAUUGAGUCAAUGCAGGUAUUUAUUGAGACUCGUGCAACUAUUUGUUCCUGAUUAUAGCCUCAUUGAAGUGUUUGAGUGUAAUUCAAGGUGUCGAGUAGGAAUAAUUAUACGGAAACAAAAAUAUAAACGCAACGUGUAAAGUGUUG